rnacentral:tRNA from 1 species
AAAGAGAUGACAGAUAAAUGUAACUGGCUUGAAACCAGAAAGAUGGAAGUUAAAAUCUUCCUCUCUUUU